UUCUGAAUCCGUAAUGUAAUGUCACAGAGACAGAGAGGUAUAGAUCGAGAGAGGGAGGAGCGAACUAAUUGCAGAGAGAUAGUUAGAUCGAGAGAGAGAGGUGGAACAAGAGAUGUUAUCGUGAGAAGAGUCAAGGACUCAGAAGAGAUUGAAGCCCUAAUUCAUAAACAGCGAGGGGAAUAGAUGCUCAGCCGUGACUUAUCGUUGAAAAUUUUCUUGUAUUUGAUGUUGUUCGUGCUAGUUCUGUUUUGCACUCUUGGCGCAAAUUUGAACGGGUACUGAGAAUAGAGAUUUAUGUGUAAGUGAUAUGAGUUGCCAGUACGCGGUGGUAAUGUUCCGUCGAUCGAUAUUGGUCGCCUCUGCAGUCUAUGCAACACGGUGCACCCUGAACAAGACCCCACUCUGGGACAAAACUCUUGAGAUUCAUACAUGUUACACUGCUUCUCAGUUAAUUGAUUUUGCCAAGUUAUUGGUGAGAUUCCAUGCUGGGAUAGCUGAAAAUAAGCUGAGGGUGGUGUUCAACAAAUACUCAAGUCAUAAACGUAGUGCCGUUGCUUUACGUGCCCCAGCCAAAAGGCUUUUGGCUUCAUGAUACAGUUAUGGAGAAUACAACUGAAUUAUUCAUCAUGUAUUCUUGAGAGAUUUAAUGUUAACUGUGUUAGGUCUCUUUUCUACCGUAUAUCCUAUCUAUACUUAUUAGUCUAGUUUACUGUAAAUGAUUGAUCAUUGGUAUAAUAACCAGUGAAUUCAA